rnacentral:lncRNA from 1 species
CUAGCAGCACAGUGACAAGAUGCUUUCCAGAACAGAAAAUGUAUUCCUAGUAUGCUGCAAGCAACACAUUGGGAAGGUCUCCCUUUCUGCUUGGGAAUGCUUUGAAAGAAGGAAGGAGGCUGCCUUUGGGAAUCACUGAACAUGAAGACAAAACAGAAGAUUCUCCUUCAAGUGAAGAUAUGAAAUGCAUGAGACAUGAGGACCUGACAUGACUCAGUGACUUGAUUCAAAUUUAAUUAAUAGGAAUCCAACCUGUGUAAAAUAGAUAAGACGCCAUGACAACAAGACACAGCUCUGCCAUUUCAUGUUUUUGCAGGAUUACUACAAAAACUGUGAACACAGGGCAUUACUGUUGCAUAAUAUCAAAAGACCACAAUCAGUGGAGCUGAGGAAUAGACUCUGCAGAUAGAUGAAGUAGGGCUGGGAAUAGCUUGAGCCCAGCUGUGGCAGACCAGGACUGCACACCUGAUGUUGAGGCUGUUAAUGAGAAAAAUGGGGACAGAAACUUCUGCUGCUGCUCUGGUGCUCCAUCCAUGGUGUCACCUGACUGAUAUAACAGAAAAGCAGGUGCAGUAUUCUCCAUCUCAGAAGAGAAGGAAAUGCAUUACAUACUGUUAUGGAAGUGUUAAAUAG